rnacentral:lncRNA from 1 species
GUGGUGGCACCUCUAGGGCUGGUAUUGCCCAUGGGGACGAUGGAGGUGGCACCUCUGGAGGUUGUGGUGGCACCUCUGGGGCUGACAUCGCCCAUGGGGACAAUGGAGGUGGCACCUCUAAGGGUUGUGAUGGCACCUCUAGGGCUGAUAUCACCCAUGGGGACGAUGGAGGUGGCACUCCAUGGUGCCACCACAAGCUGACCCGGUGUCCCCUGCCCUUCUGUCCCCACGUGUCCCACCCCCCC